rnacentral:rRNA from 1 species
AUGCACGUACGAACUGAUUGGUACGCUAGCUCUUCUAGCGUAUGGCUUAGGUGCCGCUCACUCCUCGAGUACCGGCGACGAUGGCCGGUAGAGGUCGUAGGGCGCCCAGAGGUAGUCGACCGUGCACGGCCGCCGGGCAUCGAGCCGGUGCCACGGCUUUCCCUUGCCGCUCCAGUGCAGCAGGCUGAUGGGUCCCGGGUGCAGGCCCCGGCACCGCCCUUUGACAUUGUCGCCGCCGAGCCCGUGCUGGUUCCACCGGUGGUCCACGGCCUGGAUGUCCCCGGCGAGCACCAGAAGGAACGGCGGCAGAGAGCCGAGGUGGUAGAUUCUCUUCUGCUUCUGCACGGCCAUCCACCCUUCCACCCGCCUCGUGUACCCGCCGGUGCGCCACUGGUCCACGUCCAUCACCAUCACGCCGGUGUUGAAGUAGCACGGGCGCCGCCCGUGGAACGUCCCGCUGAGCGCCGGGUCCAUCCAAAAUGUGUCCGUGAAGUAGUUGGUGAAGUUGGCGUGGCAGUACUCCGGUGCGCCCACUACGUGGCCCGCGAGGUCCACGGAGAAGAGCGUGCGGAUGUCAUCGACGACGAUCACGUCGGAGUCGAGGUAGAUCACCCGGCGCACGUCGGGGGGAAGCGUGUCGGCAAGGUAGAUGCGCGCAUAGUUGAGCGGCUGGUCCAGAGCGUGGCGGAUGGACCGGGAGAUACGUCCCCGGACGCGCGACGGAUCGAAUCGGUACACGCGGAGGUCCAGGUAAGGGAAGGUCGCGCGCAGCAUGGCGACGAGGUCACCGUCCGUCCGGGCGGCGAGGAAGUGAAACACCACGUUCUCCGGGCACGCUGUGUGCUGCAGGAUGGAGAGCACGCCGGCCAUGGUGCCGCGGAGGUAGUUAGCGUCCAGCGUCAUGGCGACGUUCACCUUGUCACCGCCGGCGCACUCGGCGCCGUUUCGGAAGGCGGGCGCCUCGCGGAACGUAGGGAUAGAAUCCAACGGCUGCCGGAUCAUCAUGGCAGGGUCGACGCGGAUGCCAGCGACGGCGGUCGCCGCGUCUCCGAGCAGGACAAGGAGCGCAAUGACGACGACACAGCCGGUUGGAAGCAUCGUGUGUGUCCGGCCAGCGGAGCGGGCGAGACAAUUGACGGGUGGCCGAGUGGUUGUCGCCGGCAAGGCAAACCAAUGGCGACAACGGCGGCGGCAGGAAAGAGGGCACGGAGAAGGUGGCCACCCUGGUCCCUGGUAAUGGUAGGGACGGGGUUAGGAAGGGAGGGGGGCCACCAUCAAAACGGUGGAGAAAGGAGAGUGUAA